CGAUAAUGACGGUACCCGAAGAAGAAGCUGCGGCUAACUACGUGCCAGCAGCCGCGGUAAUACGUAGGCAGCGAGCGUUGUUCGGAAUUACUUGGGCGUAAAGAGUGUGUAGGCGGUGUUCUAAGUCUGUUGUGAAAUCUCCCGGUUAACUGGGAGGGUGCGGGGAGACUGGAAUGCUAGAGUAUGGGAGAG
rnacentral:rRNA from 1 species